rnacentral:lncRNA from 1 species
AUGAACGGAACAAAAAGGGCUGCGGAGGGAGCCGUUCAGGCCGAACGGAAGCUCGGGUGUAGGAGACAGGAGACGGGUCUGCAUCUGGGGAACCUGCCUAAGACAGAAGGUGCCAUAAGUAGUCCCAGGAAGCUGGCGAAGACAGGAUUCUGGGUGCAGCUCAUUUACCAGCAAGAUGGAAGAUGGGGACCCCCAUCUGUGGUGGUAGGUGGCCUUCUGUACCUUUUUUCUCUGUUUGUUAGAAAAUCAGCAUACCUUUAUUUGAUAAGAGAAAACUGCAUAUAAUAAUUUAUCUCAUUUAUCUAAUUUAUCUCAUAUAAUAAUUCAUCUCAUCUCACUUACAUUUAAGGACAUUUGUGGGCUUCCCAGGGGGCGCUAGUGGUAAAGAACCAGGCUGCCAAUGCAGGAGACCUAAGAAACAAGGGUUCGAUCCCCGGAGUCAGGAAGAUCCCCUGGAGGAGUGCUUAGCAACCCACUCUGGUGCUCUUGUCUGGAGAAUCCCAGGGACAGAGGAGCCUGGCGGGCUACAGUCCCUGGGGUCACACAGAAUCGGAGACGACGGUAGUGACAGCUCAGCACAGCAAGGACGGAUAUACAAACAAGCCUGUAGGUAGCCGCAGAGCAUGACGAAGCGUCAAGAAAACGAAUUCUCAUGUAUCGAGUGUUCAUUGUGGCGCUCUAUGCCUGCAUCACUCAGUUACUAAGACUCACUCCUGCUGAGCAGUGACGGGAUAGCUGAAAGUCGUUGUCCUGGCUUGUGCAGUAUCUCUAGCUUUUGAGAAAUGACAAUCCUAAGGACUAUGUAAUCAGGUGGCAUUGCGCUUGAGCAGAUCCAGAGCACACUAGUAAACUGCACAGAGUAGGAACCAGAGUCUGCAGUUAUCCACCAACCAAGACAUCUUCAUCAGCUCACACCUAGGCCCUCAUGGACGGGGCUCCCCAUGACCAGCCGAUAGAGGAAAGAUCCCCAGUUUGAUUCACUAAUGGACUGACUCAGCACUGUCAGCUCAGUUCACUUCAGUUGCCCAGCUGUGUCUGACUCUUUGCGACCCCAUGGACGGCACACACCAGGCCUCCCUGUCCACCACCAGCUCCCGGAGCUUGUUUAAACUCAUGUCCAUCGAGUCGGUGAUGGAUCACCGACUCAGUCCUGUACAUUGGCAUCAACCGAAAAUGGCCAGCUGCACUGGAGUCCCCCCCAGAGGUGGCUCUGAUGAGACCAAUGAGGAUUAAUCUUUGUAAUAGGCAGAGCUCUGGGCAUUGGACCUGGUGAUCCAAUCUGUGU